GCGAAAGCGUGGGGCAACGCUUCGGCCUGGGUUGCUGCUCCCAUCCGCACAGCUCGAGCCCGGCCAGCCGGAGCGCGCUGCUGCUCGAACCUGGGGGCACGGCCCGAGGAAGGGCACAGCGCGAGGUGCGCCCCCUCAGCUUCGAGCUUUGCCCGCUCCGUCUGAGACACAGCGUGGGCUUCACGCGGUGCCAACACGUGGAAGCUCUGGAUUCACGCCGGAAAGGGAACUCCGGGGGUCUGAGGAGAGCGCAGGCCCAAGAACAAAGAGUGGAAGGGUUUUUACGGUGUUCUGGAAGCGUGCAGGGGAGCACUGGGCACUUCAGGGACAAGGCAGCAAGCCAGGAGCCUCUGUGCAGGUUGUGAAGAUCUCCCCAGAAGCUAGAGCAGCUGUGUGGGGAACUCCUGGGGAUGGCAAAAAGGUCUAAGUGACGUCUGGGUUUCACUGAAGAAGAUAAUGUGAUCCAUUGCCCUUCUACUUCACACAGCACUGGUCAGUGCCUACCUGUCACUUGCGUGGAUAAGGUAGCUUGAACUGGGUGCUGCAGUCCAACUGGCCUGAGGAGCUGUGUCUGACUUUCCUGCCUGCCCUAUCUAUAUAAAGCCCUGAGAACUGAGGGUAUAAGUGGAAAACAGAUGCAGGAUACCCUUUUCUCACUGUCGGAAGUUGAUAGUGGUUCCUGAGGGCGGUCCUUCUCUGGGCACAGACCCCCAGACAGCCAGUCACCUGCUGCCUGGUUGUCCUGAAAGACCUUGAGGUGGAGUCAAGAUGGAAAGAAUGGGCCAGACUCGUGGACUGCAAACACAUUCACCUUCACAGUGGGGACACCUGCUGAUAACCAUCUGCUGGAACGCACUGCAGUGAGCUGGUCAAGUACAUUUUUACAUAUAGACUGUGAGUGCUCUAUGCAGUCUACUUUAUAUGCAUAUGCUCUCCAAUUAAAUAGAUGCCCUGGUAUUAAAGUUGGUUUUAGUGGUUUUCAUCUUAUGUGUCCUUCGUGUGGGAAGAGACUGUCUUUAAAAGAUUCUUUCCAUCAAGACAGAAUGGCCAGCCUUCUUAUGAAGCAUUUGUACAUGGAAAAUCCUAAGAGAAAACAGUUUUCCUUGUGCACUCCGUGUAUGUCAAGUUUGUAGGUAUUUGCAAAGUAGAACUUUGUUUAAGUUAGUUGUCACUAAUGGCCAGAGAUGUCGUGGCACUAGUACUCUGCAAGUCAAUUAUACAUAAAACAUUGUAACAGGGUUAUUAGGAAGUACUAAAUGUUGGAGGAUAUAUGUGGUACAGGAAGAGGCACAAAAUUGCUGUGUACUUAGCGUGUAUAAUGCAGCUCGCUCAAUUUGUUCCUGGCUAUUCAUAGGAGAGUACAUUUUCUCUUUUUAAUUGCACAGGAUGACAAGACCUUUUAAUUAAGGUGGCAUCUAUAGUAUUCAUAUACUGCAAAAC